ACGAACGCUUGCGGCGUGCCUAAGAAAUGCAAGUCGAGCGAGAUUUUGCGCUGACCAAAGCUUCGGCAGAGGUCUUGUAAAGUCUAGCGGCGAACGGUCGCGUAACACGUAAGCAACCUGCCCUAAAGUGUGGGAUAGCCCUCCGAAAGGAGGAUUAAUACCGCAUGUGGAUACAUUCCCGCAUGAGAGUGUAUCUAAAGCAGCAAUGCGCUUUAGGAUGGGCUUGCGGCCUAUCAGCUAGUUGGUGGGGUAACGGCCUACCAAGGCGACGACGGGUAGCUGGUCUGAGAGGACGAUCAGCCGGAUUGGGACUGAGAUACGGCCCAGACUCCUACGGGGGGCAGCAAUUAGGAAUCUUGCGCAAUGGGGGAAACCCUGACGCAGCGACGCCGCGUGAGUGAUGAAGUUUUUCGGAAUGUAAAACUCUGUCCUAUAGGGAAGAAGAAUGUGACGGUACCUAUAGAGAAAGCCCCGGCUAACUACGUGCCAGCAGCCGCGGUAAUACGUAGGGGGCGAGCGUUGUCCGAAUUUAUUGGGCGUAAAGCGCGUGUAGGCGGUUCUUUAAGUCAGAUGUGAAAUCCUGCGGCUCAACCGCAGAACUGCAUUUGAUACUGGAGGGCUUGAGUGUGGGAGAGGAAAGUGGAAUUCCUGGUGUAGCGGUGAAAUGCGUAGAUAUCAGGAGGAACACCCGUGGCGAAGGCGGCUUUCUGGCCCACCACUGACGCUGAGACGCGAAAGCUAGGGGAGCGAACGGGAUUAGAUACCCCGGUAGUCCUAGCCGUAAACGAUGGAUACUAGGUGUAAGUGAUGUCGACCCCACUUGUGCCGAAGCUAACGCAUUAAGUAUCCCGCCUGGGGAGUACGGCCGCAAGGUUGAAACUCAAAGGAAUUGACGGGGGCCCGCACAAGCGGGUGGAGCAUGUGGUUUAAUUCGUCACUAACCGAAGAACCUUACCAAGGUUUGACAUCUAGGGAACCCUGGUGAAAGCCGGGGGUGCCUCGCAAGAGGAGCCCUAAGACAGGUGUUGCAUGGCUGUCGUCAGCUCGUGUCGUGAGAUGUUGGGUUAAGUCCCGCAACAAGCGCAACCCUCAUCAGAUGUUGCCAGCAUUAAGUUGGGCACUCUUCUGAAACUGCCCGUGUAAGCGGGAGGAAGGUGGGGAUGACGUCAAGUCGGCAUGGCCCUUACGCCUUGGGCUACACACAUGCUACAAUGGUCGUUAACAAAGGGAUGCAAUAUCGCGAGAUGGAGCUAAUCUCAAAAAUACGGCCCCAGUUCAGAUUGCAGUCUGCAACUCGACUGCAUGAAGUCGGAAUCGCUAGUAACCGCAGGUCAGCUAAACUGCGGUGAAUACGUUCCCGGGCCUUGUACACACCGCCCGUCAAGUCACCUGAGUCUGCUGCACCCGAAGCCAGUGGCUCAACCCGUAAGGGAGAGAGCUGUCUAAGGUGUGGCCGGUAAGGGGGACU
rnacentral:rRNA from 1 species